UACGUAAGGUCCGAGCGUUGUCCGGAAUCAUUGGGCGUAAAGGGCACGUAGGCGGAUAGGCAAGUGAGAUGUGAAAUCCCCGAGCUCAACUUGGGAAUUGCAUUUCAAACUGGUUAUCUAGAGUUUUGUAGAGAGGGGUAGAAUUCCACGUGUAGCGGUGAAAUGCGUAGAGAUGUGGAGGAAUACCGAAGGCGAAGGCAGCCCCUUGGACAAAGACUGACGCUGAGGUGCGAAAGCGUGGGUAGCAAACAGG
rnacentral:rRNA from 1 species